UAAGGAAUAUUGGACAAUGGAGGCAACUCUGAUCCAGCCAUGCCGCGUGAAGGAAUAAGGCCCUAUGGGUUGUAAACUUCUUUUAGACGGGACAAAACCCCUUUACGUGUAAAGGGUUGAUGGUACUGUCAGAAUAAGCAUCGGCUAACUUCGUGCCAGCAGCCGCGGUAAUACGAAGGAUGCAAGCGUUAGCCGGAAUUAUUGGGUUUAAAGGGUGCGUAGGCGGACUAAUAAGUCAGUGGUGAAAGCCUGCAGCUUAACUGCAGAAUUGCCAUUGAUACUGUUAGUCUUGAGUACAGUUGAGGUAGGCGGAACGUGUCAUGUAGCGGUGAAAUGCUUAGAUAUGACACAGAACACCGAUUGCGAAGGCAGCUUGCUAAGCUGUAACUGACGCUGAGGCACGAAAGCGUGGGGAGCAAACA
rnacentral:rRNA from 1 species